rnacentral:rRNA from 1 species
UGGCUCAGGAUGAACGCUGGCGGCGUGCUUAACACAUGCAAGUCGAGCGAAGCGCUCACGCGGAAUUUUUCGGAAGGAAGCGGGAGUGACUUAGCGGCGGACGGGUGAGUAACGCGUGGGUAACCUGCCCCAUACCGGGGGAUAACGGUUAGAAAUGACCGCUAAUACCGCUUAAGCGCGCGAGGCCGCAUGGCCGCGCGCGAAAAACUCCGGUGGUAUGGGAUGGGCCCGCGUCUGAUUAGGUAGUUGGCGGGGUAAGGGCCCACCAAGCCGACGAUCAGUAGCCGACCUGAGAGGGUGGCCGGCCACAUUGGGACUGAGACACGGCCCAAACUCCUACGGGAGGCAGCAGUGGGGAAUAUUGCGCAAUGGGGGAAACCCUGACGCAGCAACGCCGCGUGAGUGAGGAAGUAUCUCGGUAUGUAAAGCUCUAUCAGCGGGGAAGAAAGAGGACGGUACCCGACUAAGAAGCCCCGGCUAACUACGUGCCAGCAGCCGCGGUAAUACGUAGGGGGCGAGCGUUAUCCGGAUUUACUGGGUGUAAAGGGAGCGUAGACGGCGUCGCAAGUCUGAAGUGAAAGCCCGUGGCUCAACCGCGGAACCGCUUUGGAAACUGCGAGGCUGGAGUGCUGGAGAGGUAAGCGGAAUUCCUGGUGUAGCGGUGAAAUGCGUAGAUAUCAGGAGGAACACCGGUGGCGAAGGCGGCUUACUGGACAGUGACUGACGUUGAGGCUCGAAAGCGUGGGGAGCGAACAGGAUUAGAUACCCUGGUAGUCCACGCGGUAAACGAUGAGUGCUAGGUGUCGGGGGGGCAAAGCCCCUCGGUGCCGCCGCUAACGCAAUAAGCACUCCACCUGGAGAGUACGUUCGCAAGAAUGAAACUCAAAGGAAUUGACGGGGACCCGCACAAGCGGUGGAGCAUGUGGUUUAAUUCAAGCAACGCGAAGAACCUUCCCAAGUCUUGACAUCCCGCUGCCGUACCUGGAGACAGGUAUUUUCCUCGGAACAGCGGAGACAGGUGGUGCAUGGUUGUCGUCAGCUCGUGUCGUGAGAUGUUGGGUUAAGUCCCGCAACGAGCGCAACCCUUAUCCUCAGUAGCCAGCGGCCAGGCCGGGCACUCUGUGGAGACUGCCAGGGACAACCUGGAGGAAGGCGGGGAUGACGUCAAAUCAUCAUGCCCCUUAUGACUUGGGCGACACACGUGCUACAAUGGCGUAAACAAAGGGAGGCGAAAGGGUGACCUGGAGCGAACCCCAAAAAUAACGUCCCAGUUCGGAUUGUAGUCUGCAACCCGACUACAUGAAGCUGGAAUCGCUAGUAAUCGCGAAUCAGAAUGUCGCGGUGAAUACGUUCCCGGGUCUUGUACACACCGCCCGUCACACCAUGGGAGCCGGUAACGCCCGAAGUCGGUGACCCAACCGUAAGGAGGGAGCCGCCGAAGGCGGGACUGGUAACUGGGGUGAAGUCGUAACAAGGU